rnacentral:rRNA from 1 species
UACGGGGGGGGCAAGCGUUGUUCGGAAUUACUGGGCGUAAAGGGCUCGUAGGUGGCCAACUAAGUCGGACGUGAAAUCCCUCGGCUUAACCGGGGAACUGCGUCCGAUACUGGUUGGCUUGAGUUUGGGAGAGGGAUGCGGAAUUCCAGGUGUAGCGGUGAAAUGCGUAGAUAUCCGGAGGAACACCGGUGGCGAAGGCGGCUUCCUGGACCGAUACUGACGCUGAGGCGCGAAAGCUAGGGGAGCAAACGGG